rnacentral:rRNA from 1 species
UAGCAUAUCAAUAAGCGGAGGAAAAGAAACCAACAGGGAUUGCCCUAGUAACGGCGAGUGAAGCGGCAACAGCUCAAAUUUGAAAUCUGGCGUCUUUGGCGUCCGAGUUGUAAUUUGCAGAGGGCGCUUUGGCAUUGGCAGCGGUCCAAGUUCCUUGGAACAGGACGUCACAGAGGGUGAGAAUCCCGUACGUGGUCGCUAGCCUUUACCGUGUAAAGCCCCUUCGACGAGUCGAGUUGUUUGGGAAUGCAGCUCUAAAUGGGAGGUAAAUUUCUUCUAAAGCUAAAUACUGGCCAGAGACCGAUAGCGCACAAGUAGAGUGAUCGAAAGAUGAAAAGCACUUUGGAAAGAGAGUUAAAAAGCACGUGAAAUUGUUGAAAGGGAAGCGCUUGCAGCCAGACUUGCCUGUAGUUGCUCAUCCGGGUUUUUACCCGGUGCACUCUUCUGCGGGCAGGCCAGCAUCAGUUUGGGCGGUUGGAUAAAGGUCUCUGUCAUGUACCUCUCUUCGGGGAGAACUUAUAGGGGAGACGACAUGCAACCAGCCUGGACUGAGGUCCGCGCAUCUGCUAGGAUGCUGGCGUAAUGGCUGUAAGCGGCCCGUCUUGAAACACGGACCAAGGAGUCUAACAUCUAUGCGAGUGUUUGGGUGUCAAGCCCGAACGCGUAAUGAAAGUGAACGGAGGUGGGAACCCCUCGGGGUGCACCAUCGACCGAUCCUGAUGUCUUCGGAUGGAUUUGAGUAAGAGCAUAGCUGUUGGGACCCGAAAGAUGGUGAACUAUGCUUGAAUAGGGUGAAGCCAGAGGAAACUCUGGUGGAGGCUCGCAGCGGU